UAAGGAAUAUUGCGCAAUGGGCGAAAGCCUGACGCAGCGACGCCGCGUGGGGGAUGAAGGUCUUCGGAUUGUAAACCCCUUUCGGGAGGGAAGAUGGAAUGGGGUAACCCAUUCGGACGGUACCUCCAGAAGCAGCCACGGCUAACUUCGUGCCAGCAGCCGCGGUAAUACGAAGGUGGCAAGCGUUAUUCGGAUUUACUGGGCGUACAGGGAGCGUAGGCGGUUCGGUAAGCCCUCUGUGAAAUCUUCAGGCUUAACCUGGAAAAGUCGGAGGGGACUGCUGGGCUAGAGGACGGGAGAGGAGCGCGGAAUUCCCGGUGUAGCGGUGAAAUGCGUAGAGAUCGGGAGGAAGGCCGGUGGCGAAGGCGGCGCUCUGGAACGUUUCUGACGCUGAGGCUCGAAAGCGUGGGGAGCAAACAGGAUUAGAUACCCGUGUAGUCCCUGAGCGGGCUGGCAAGGCGCAU
rnacentral:rRNA from 1 species